rnacentral:rRNA from 1 species
UACGUAGGGUGCGAGCGUUGUCCGGAAUUAUUGGGCGUAAAGGGCUCGUAGGCGGUCUGUUGCGUCGGGAGUGAAAACUCAGGGCUUAACCCUGAGCCUGCUUCCGAUACGGGCAGACUAGAGGUAUGCAGGGGAGAACGGAAUUCCUGGUGUAGCGGUGAAAUGCGCAGAUAUCAGGAGGAACACCGGUGGCGAAGGCGGUUCUCUGGGCAUUACCUGACGCUGAGGAGCGAAAGUGUGGGGGGCGAACAGG